rnacentral:lncRNA from 1 species
UCCCAAGGUUUCUAUUCCAAUCCCCGAGGAACACAAGGCUCUCAAAAAGUGCCACCUCUACUCUAGUGCUUUUCCGUCGCCUCGUAUUCCUUUCAUGAUGUCUUUUCUCCUGGUCCUUGCCCUGGCUGUUUGGUGGUUGAUCUUUCUGUGAUUGGAAAACAGGGUGCUCAUCUGACAUGUCAAGACUAAAACCACCGAACUCUGUCUCUAGCUUGGAAUGUGUAAUUGCCCACGUCACGCCUCGGAUCCUGAGCGUUCACUGUCAUAGGGACCUCUGGAGGUUCUUUUUCCUGUCAAUAAUAAAAUGUGAAUCUCUGCAGAGUAUACAUUGUGAGGAAAAAGGAGUAGUGAUGGAUUGGCCCACCAGUGCUCCUACCCCAAAGUUAACUUUAGGCAAAUCAGAUGGAGGUAUAUGGCAGGUGGUACUCACCCCAAAGCUACCGUGCACACUCUUACUGUUGACCUGCUAUGUCCCCUUCUCAGUGUCUCACGCAGACUGGGACACUUUGAAAACAUUUGAUGGACUAUUUUCUCAGUCUUCUAUAGCCAUUUUUGUGGCAUGGGCUCUGUAGUUUAAGAAGAAAUUCGACUUCCCAACCUUUGAAAAGCCUUAAAAUGAAAAUUUUAAUCCAAAAGAUCCAUAACCGCUCCUUUUCUUAGCGUGUCUAAUCAGUGCAUACAAAAGGCCUUUUCUGCAAGGGGCUCUGACACCUGUGGCCUUUUCCUGAGUGUUUAUGAGCUGUACGGAAUAGGCAACUUUAUUCGGCCUGGUGUGGAGAAGAAUCACGCAGAGGUUAAAUGCUGUCUUUUCAUGCAUAGAGAAUUCAUUUUGUUUAGGGAAAUGGUGCUGGUGUCCCGUGGCCUCUAUCCAGGGUAGAAAAUUUCAGACACCUACCUUUAAAAGUCCUGGAGUACAGAUUAACUUGAGAUCUGUAUGUCAACACACUUUUCUCUAAAUUAAAAUAUUGUUACUUCCUUAUGGUAUAAGUAAUUGUUGCUAGAAGCAAUGUUUAACUGUUAUAAUAAGCGUAAACGAUACUGUUUCCUUGUACUUCAGACCUUUUCUCCCACUUGUGUUAAAAUCAAUUGUUUCUAAUCAGUAGCCUUGCAUCUAAGCUUUCACUGUGACAUGUGUCCAGUCUGCAUGUUGGUUAUGAGGCUUCCCUGAUGUAGAGGUGAGCACACCCUCCUCAGAGCACCACUUAGAUGCUACAUUGGUGGUUUCUCACCUUACUCUAUUAACCUUGCAUGACGUCGCUUGCUUUCUAUGGCAUUUGAACGCAUCAAUCUGGAUGAGUUGUUAACUUCUCAGAUAACUAUUUUUGGACUCUGAGUUAGAGUCAUCACGUUGAGACUAUUAUCUUUUAUAUUAUUUCUUAGUGCUUUUUGGUCAUUGAAAUUUCUAAAGAUGGUUUUUGCCUUUGAAAAGGUGGAGGGGGAGGGAGGAAGAGAGAGUAAAACAGUAAAGCAAGAAUGUUGUUGUUCCUCAGUGCUCAGUAGUAUUGAUCUGUUGUUUUGAAGAUAGGAUUGUCUGAUAUUUACUGAAAACUGCUAUGGCAUACUCUGUCAUUAUUGGACUUAGGGGAAAAAACUGGAAAAAGAAGCAAGGACCAGGCUAGAUUUUUAAGAAAAAAAAUCUAGAUAUAUGUGGUUUGUGUUACAAGUUAUGUCUAUUUAUAACAAACAUUUUGUAAAUCAGCAUAUUUUUCUUGAUUCACUCGUAAGAAAAGGGAUUGCAAAGCUCUCUAAAGAACUGCUUUGCAAGGUAGACUACGACAGCCGUGAGGAAGUCUCCUUACCUGUGAAAAGAUGUAAGAUUUCCUUAAUGAAGUAACAAUUGCAACUAGCAUUCUUUAUGUUAUUGUAAGUUUUUUUAGGAAUUAAAAAUUAACCUUAAAAUUUUAUCGGUACUUUUGUAACUUUCAAAUUAUAUUUCCUACAGUUCCAGUUUUCAUCGUUGUACACAACUUUUUAUUAAUUAUUGUAAACAUCACCCUGGAAUUUUUUUUCCUUUUAUAUUGGAAUUAUUUCAAAUCCAUUAAAAGUUUAGUGUG